UGCAGUCGAGCGAACAGAUGAGAAGCUUGCUUCUCUGAUGUUAGCGGCGGACGGGUGAGUAACACGUGGGUAACCUACCUAUAAGACUGGGAUAACUCCGGGAAACCGGGGCUAAUACCGGAUAAUAUUUUGAACCGCAUGGUUCAAUAGUGAAAGACGGUUUCGGCUGUCACUUAUAGAUGGACCCGCGCCGUAUUAGCUAGUUGGUAAGGUAACGGCUUACCAAGGCGACGAUACGUAGCCGACCUGAGAGGGUGAUCGGCCACACUGGAACUGAGACACGGUCCAGACUCCUACGGGAGGCAGCAGUAGGGAAUCUUCCGCAAUGGGCGAAAGCCUGACGGAGCAACGCCGCGUGAGUGAUGAAGGUCUUCGGAUCGUAAAACUCUGUUGUUAGGGAAGAACAAAUUUGUUAGUAACUGAACAAGUCUUGACGGUACCUAACCAGAAAGCCACGGCUAACUACGUGCCAGCAGCCGCGGUAAUACGUAGGUGGCAGGCGUUAUCCGGAAUUAUUGGGCGUAAAGCGCGCGUAGGCGGUUUCUUAAGUCUGAUGUGAAAGCCCACGGCUCAACCGUGGAGGGUCAUUGGAAACUGGGAAACUUGAGUGCAGAAGAGGAGAGUGGAAUUCCAUGUGUAGCGGUGAAAUGCGCAGAGAUAUGGAGGAACACCAGUGGCGAAGGCGGCUCUCUGGUCUGUAACUGACGCUGAUGUGCGAAAGCGUGGGGAUCAAACAGGAUUAGAUACCCUGGUAGUCCACGCCGUAAACGAUGAGUGCUAAGUGUUAGGGGGUUUCCGCCCCUUAGUGCUGCAGCUAACGCAUUAAGCACUCCGCCUGGGGAGUACGACCGCAAGGUUGAAACUCAAAGGAAUUGACGGGGANCCGCACAAGCGGUGGAGCAUGUGGUUUAAUUCGAAGCAGCGCGAAGAACCUUACCAAAUCUUGACAUCCUUUGACCGCUCUAGAGAUAGAGUCUUCCCCUUCGGGGGACNAAGUGACNG
rnacentral:rRNA from 1 species